CACGGGGCGACUUUCUUUUCCUCUUGAGGUCAUCCUGUUACACAGGCAGGAAGUUCUGUUCACUUGGCUGUUGGGAAGACUUCUCCUGCCCUGCGGUCACAAAACAACAAAUAAAACGAAUUGACCCAGAAGUUAGGCAAUCAAAGAGGAGCCGAAAUCGCUACUUGAUAAAGCCUGUCGAUUGAAGAAAGCGGACUAUCAUUCCUGCGUGGUGACCCGCAGGCUGGGAAGCUGGAUCUGUGUUUGUCUAAUUGCUUUGGAAACACACACAGCCCUGGAAAAAUCAACCACACAAAUGAGUGUUGAAGGAAAGUUUAUAAAUAUGAAGCAGGAUGGAGAGCUGAGGAAAGGUCAGCGGCCUGGGACACAGCAGGAAGCCUUGGUCUUAGUUGCGGCAUGCGGAUCUAGUUCCCUGAUCGGGGAUCAAACCUGGCCCCCCUGCAUUGGGAGCAUGGAGUCUUAACCACUGGACCACCGGGGAAGUCCCAAGACUGAUAAUGUUAACCCCCGUGACACCACCCUGCUACCUUACCAUCAGAUAAUCAGAGAAUAAUGCACAAGCUGAUCACAGACCCUGCAACACCCCUCCCUCACCCGGCUUUUAAAAGUGCUUCGGGAGACUCAAGAGGGAGGAGAUAUAUGUAUACGUAUAGCUGAUUCACUUUGUUAUACAGCAGAAACUAACACAACAUUGUAAAGCAAUUAUACUCCAAUAAAGAUGUUAAAAAAAAGAACACCAAUCCCAUCCAUGAGGGCUCCUCCCUCAAGACCUAAUCACCUCCCAAGGCCUCACCUCCUAAAGCAUGACAUUGGGUGUUAGGAUUCCAACAUAUGAAUUUUGCGGACAGGAACAUUCUCAUCAUAGCAGCCACCUUUGAACGCUGUUGUUGUCAACCACAGAAUAAGAGAGUUGGACUAUAUCUAAGCUCCAACAGUUUGGGUCUUUGAAAGUAAUGAUAAGAGUUUACAGCUCAAUUUUAGUGUCAGAAAUCUUUGUGACUUGUUAAAUCAUAAACUGACCUGUGAUGAGAGUGUGCUGGCUAACUGAAAGACGGCUUUUGUUUGCUUGGAUUAGAAGUACAUCCCCUUGGUGUGGUAACUGCAUCUAUCAUAUGUGGCUCAGAAUUCUGGCUGACGUAGGCCAGCUGGAAAAAUAAGUGAGUUAUUACUUAUUUUGGUCUGACAGGUAAAGUCUUUCAAAGCAUGGGGCCCACCAGCAGGGUGAUUAACGGGCAAUCUCGGUGGCACCAGAGUUGGUCCCCACAGGGGACCCCAAAGUUGCUUCCAGUGCCAAGGUGCUCAGACUGUGGGGUCACAGGUAUUUAUUUGCAUUUGAGGAGUGAGGGGCUCAGAGACACAGCAAAUAUUCCCUGAGGACAAGGGCCUUGCACAACUGGUCAGGCAUGAUGAGUGAGGGCCAUUACCUUUGCCAGCCCUACCCAAGCCCACACUGCCCUCCUGUAUCCUGGCUACCCAGCCCCACCAGGUCCACACCACAUGCCAAACCACCUGACAUCUGAACUGCCACUCUACAACCCUCCACAUCCCAUCCCCAGGGGCUCAAACGCUAAUGCUCCAUGCUCAUCAGUGUUCAUGAGUGUUCAGUGCCAGUCAGUUAAUGAGGGCUUCAGGAGAGGUAAUGUCUUUCCCUAAAGAAGUAGCUCUGAGCAAAAUGAGCAAAUAAACACAGUCCUUUCCACAAGUACACAACCGUAAGCUUCAAGCGAAUGGCCCAAAUGCAAUGCAUCCUAAUUUAAAUGUGAGCCACCACAUGACAACCAACUCUCCAUCACGGGGUGAUGAACCCCACGUUGGCCUCCCACUUGCUGUCCAUGAGGUCGAAGGGCGUGUGCUUUAGCAGCUGGACAGGAGGAGAAGGUGGCCACCUUUUGGGUGGCAUGUGAUACCUCACUUUUUUCCAGAACUUGGUCUUUGCACACUGUGACUGCUCUGUGAAGUCCCCACUCCACUGGACGGCCCCAUGCUUCUGUUUGAUGUACUGAAUGGACUCUGGCAAGGUCAAGGCUCAGCGCUUCGGGAACUAUGAUGAUGAUCAGUCUUCUGCACAGCUUAAUAUUUUCAUCAGUGACAUUGACCACAGCUGGAAAUAAAGAAAGAAGAUGCGGAACAUCUCGUGAUGAAAAGAGCCACAGACCCUGCACUACUCAGAACAAGGAUCUUAUCAUGUCUAACUUAGCUAAAGCUUCCCCUUCAGUAAUCUCACAAGCAGACUGUGUGCACAAGAUAGCAUCUAAAGAAAGAUCAUGCGGAGUCAACAAGCCUGCAAGCGGUGGGAGAUGGUGAAGAAUCUGACCCCCUUUCUCAGUGAUUAACUGAGAUUAUUUCCCCUUUUCCCUUUAACACUUUCAUGGCCGCGCAGAAUCUUUGGAGUUGGUUCUGGGACACCAGUCCACCUUCUCCCCUGG